rnacentral:rRNA from 1 species
GAUGAUCUGUAGAGGGCGAGAGAGGGUGACCCCCCACACUGGUACUGAGACAUGGUCCAGACUCCUACGGUAGGCAGCAGUGAGGAAUAUUGGACAAUGGGUGAGAGCAUGAUCCAGCCAUCGAGCGAGCAGGAAGACGGCCCUAUGGGUUGUAAACUGCUUUUGUAAGGGAAUAAACCACCUUACGUGUAGGGUGUGGAAGGUACCAUAAGAAUAAGCACCGGCUAACUCCGAGCCAGCAGGCGCGGUAAUAGGGAGGGAGCAAGCUUUAUCCGGAUUCAUUGGGUUUAAAGGGUCGGCAGGCGGGCUUGUAAGUCAGGGGAGAAAGCCGGCAGCUUAACGGUGGACCUGCCUUUGAUAGUGCAAGUAUUGAGUGAGAUUGAAGUAGAUGGAAUGUGUAGUGUAGCGGUGAAAUGGUUAGAUAUUACAUGGAACACCGAUAGGGAAGGCAGGUUAUUAAGUCUUAACGGACGCUGAGGGACGAAAGCGUGGGGAGCGAACAGGAUUAGAUACCUAGGUAGUCCACUCCGUAAACGAUGGAUACUGUAUGUUGGGGCAUAAGCUUCAGGGAUAAGCGAAAGUGAUAAGUUCCCAC